AUGAAUGGCAUGCAAUUUGACUGCACAAAUAGCAUAGAAUGAUGAUGAUAGAUGCAGUUUAUAAAAUGUUAUAUUUACACUGCUAUACUUUGUAUUUUAUGUAUUAUACAGUAUAGCUUGAGGUAUUAUGUUAUUCACUCAAUUCUGUAAUUAUUUUAUUUCAGACUUUCUCAAAACCAGAGCGUAGUAUUUAUGAGUUGCAGCCAACAGAGAAAAGUAACAAAAGGACCAAAAACUAACACUACAACUGAAUUGUUUAAAUCCGACAUCAAAGUUUCCAUUUGAUGUACAUGUAUAUUGCUUUAUAGCUUUGUGUUACAAAUUUGGUAAUACAAUUUCAGCG
rnacentral:lncRNA from 1 species